GUAGCUCAGGGGUAGAGCAUUUGCCUUGCAAGCAGAAGGUCCCAAGUUCAGUCCCCAGCAUCUCCA